GUUUGAUCCUGGCUCAGGACGAACGCUGGCGGCGUGCUUAACACAUGCAAGUCGAACGGUAAGGCCCUUCGGGGUACACGAGUGGCGAACGGGUGAGUAACACGUGGGUGAUCUGCCCUGCACUUCGGGAUAAGCUUGGGAAACUGGGUCUAAUACCGGAUAGGACCACGGUCUGCAUGGAUUGUGGUGGAAAGCUUUUGCGGUGUGGGAUGGGCCCCGCGGCCUAUCAGCUUGUUGGUGGGGUGAUGGCCUACCAAGGCGACGACGGGUAGCCGGCCUGAGAGGGUGUCCGGCCACACUGGGACUGAGAUACGGCCCAGACUCCUACGGGAGGCAGCAGUGGGGAAUAUUGCACAAUGGGCGCAAGCCUGAUGCAGCGACGCCGCGUGGGGGAUGACGGCCUUCGGGUUCGGUAAACCGUUACCUUUCCUAGUCAGGGACGGAACGGGUAGGACGUGACGGUACCGUCGUAGAAGAAGACGACCGGACCGAACCUACGUACG
rnacentral:rRNA from 1 species